UACGACUACAUAUCAGGCAUAUCAAUAAGCGGAGGAAAAGAAACUAACAAGGAUUCCCCUAGUAACGGCGAGUGAAGCGGGAAGAGCUCAAAUUUGAAAUCUUAAAGGGUUUCCCUUUACGAAUUGUAGUUUAAAGAAGUGUUUUCUGUUGGAGUUUUGGUAAAAGUUCUUUGGAAUAGGACAUCAUAGAGGGUGAGAAUCCCGUAUUUGACCAUUAUUUCCAGCUGUGUGAUACACUUUCAAAGAGUCGGAUUGUUUGGGAAUGCAGUCCAAAAUGGGUGGUAAAUUUCAUCUAAAGCUAAAUAUUGGCGAAAGACCGAUAGCGGACAAGUACCGUGAGGGAAAGAUGAAAAGAACUUUGAAAAGAGAGUUAAACAGUACGUGAAAUUGUCAAAAGGGAAGCGUUUGACACCAGUGUUGUUUUCUCGAAAAUCAAUUAAAAAGAGUUGGAUUUUGUAUUGUUAAGACCUUAUCAGCUUACUGUACUUUUUUCUUGAUUCUUUUUAAUGCACUUUUCGUUUAACAAGUCAACAUCAAUUUCUUUUGUUGUAAAAGAGUCAUUGGAAGGUGGCUUUCACUUCGGUGAAAGUGUUUAUAGCCUUUGGCUUCUGCAAUCGGAGAGAUUGAGGUCUGCAGCGUAGAUCCUUCGGGGUUAGAUACAGUUAGAUGCUAAGUUAUAGUUUUUCAUAGACAACAUGUUGACUAUGAUUAAUCAUGUAGCUUACUCGUUUGCGCUAUUUUACCUACGCUUAGGAUGUUGAAUCUGUGCGAGACUAC
rnacentral:rRNA from 1 species